rnacentral:rRNA from 1 species
GACGAACGCUGGCGGCGUGCUUCAUACAUGCAAGUCGAGCGGGGUCCAUCCAGUGGCAACACUGGUGAAGACCUAGCGGCGAACGGGUGAGUAACACGUGAGGAACCUGCCCCAGAGACCGGGAUAACCCUCCGAAAGGAGAGCUAAUACCGGAUGCCCCCACCGGAUCGCAUGGUCUGGUGAGGCAAUGGAUUCCGCUCUGGGAGGGCCUCGCGGCCUAUCAGCUUGUUGGUGAGGUAACGGCUCACCAAGGCGUCGACGGGUAGCUGGUCUGAGAGGACGGUCAGCCACACUGGGACUGAGACACGGCCCAGACUCCUACGGGAGGCAGCAGUAGGGAAUCUUGCGCAAUGGGCGAAAGCCUGACGCAGCAACGCCGCGUGGGGGAUGAAGGCUCUCGGGUUGUAAACCCCUUUCAGCAGGGACGAUUAUGACGGUACCUGCAGAAGAAGGACCGGCCAACUACGUGCCAGCCGCCGCGGUAA